UACAAGAGCGACAAUUCCCAAGGAUAUUGGUUCAAGACUAGUUCCAUAUGUACAGAGGAAGUACAUCUAACUGCCACACCUGUUCUCCUCCAGUUCUGUCUUCUAGAAUAUUCUUUCUACUCCAUUUCUUUAAGCUGUUUAUGAAGGCUUGGUUGUUUACUAUUUCUCCAGUGACUCAGCCUCUUUAGCCUUUUGGGGACAUAGGUGCCAGCAGACAAUUUUUCCUGUGGAGAAUUCAGAGGCAAGUGUCUUCUCAUCCUUACAGUCAUAGAGCAGGAGACAGUUGGUGAUACUGAUGAUUUCCCAACCAUAAAGGAGGAGAGAAACUGACAGAAGACCCUGUGGAAAGAGAAGAUGGGAGAUAACAAUGUAUGAACAUUUAAAACACCAUCAGGAAUUGGAUACUCACAUUGCAAACUACAAGACUGAGACCAUGGGUGAAACAAGGAGACCCUAUUCCAAUGGGGCCUUGCAAGUGAUUACAGUGAAAAGGAGUAGAUGAGUACUGACAGCUAUACAAUCUGGUAUCUGAUGGUCUGUCCACAUGUCUGCCAUAAAAUCCACAACUCUCUCUUAUCAUCCAAGUUCUUGCAGGAGUGAAGCUGGUGAGACCCAAUCAAGAGAGUUUGACAGCUUCACCAGGCCUUUGGGCAAGGUGUGGGGGAACCAGCUCUGUGCUCUUGGAAGGGAUAGGGCCUCAGGCCACCCAGACCACAGCACUUGGCACUCCCAUAUUUAAAUUGCUUAGGGCUCCGGGCACCACCACUGCCACAGGAAUAGCAGGCAUGACUGGGAUCACU